GGACCAAUAGCUUAGUUGGUUUAGAGCAAGGUCACCAGUUAUGCCUAGAUCCCAGGUUCAAUCCUUAGUUAGUCUA